rnacentral:rRNA from 1 species
UACAGAGGGGGCUAGCGUUAUUCGGAAUUAUUGGGCGUAAAGGGCGCGUAGGCGGCCAUGCGUGUCUUCCGUGAAAUCCCUCGGCUUAACUGAGGACGUGCGGAAGAAACUGCAAGGCUUGAGUCCGGGAGAGGGGGGUGGAAUUCCUAGUGUAGGAGUGAAAUCCGUAGAUAUUAGGAGGAACACCGGUGGCGAAGGCGGCUACCUGGACCGAUAUUGACGCUGAGACGCGAAAGCGUGGGGAGCAAACA